GCAGCUCAACGGCCAUGGACGGACGGAGGAAUCCUAGAGUUUCCAGAUUAGACUGCUCCAAGCUAUCCACGAACUCCUCCCUUGAAAACCACAAUAGAGUAAGCAGCGGCGGCGAGUAAUCAGGGAAUCCAUCGAACCACGAAAACCCAGACACGAGAUCUGGUGAGGGAAGGGAAGGAUGGAGGCUCGCGGCGGGAGAGGCUGGAGGGUCACGGGAGAGGAGGGCGGACGGGGCUGGAGCUAGGGUUAGGGUCUGGUUUGUGGUGGAGGGAUUUUUUACCCUGUUGGCCUGUUCG
rnacentral:lncRNA from 1 species